UACGUAGGGUCCGAGCGUUGUCCGGAAUUAUUGGGCGUAAAGGGCUCGUAGGCGGUCCGUCAGGUCGGGAGUGAAAACUCAGGGCUCAACCCUGAGCGUGCUUCCGAUACGGGCGGACUAGAGGUAUGCAGGGGAGAACGGAAUUCCUGGUGUAGCGGUGGAAUGCGCAGAUAUCAGGAGGAACACCGGUGGCGAAGGCGGUUCUCUGGGCAUUACCUGACGCUGAGGAGCGAAAGCAUGGGGAGCGAACAGG
rnacentral:rRNA from 1 species